rnacentral:rRNA from 1 species
ACGGAAGGCAGCAGCUAAGAAUAUUCCACAAUGGACGAAAGUCUGAUGGAGCGACGCCGCGUGGACGAUGAAGGCCGAAAGGUUGUAAAGUCCUUUUGAACCUGACGAAUAAGGUGUAUGAGAGUACGCUGGUGACGGUAGGGUUUGAAUAAGCAACGGCUAAUUACGUGCCAGCAGCCGCGGUAACACGUAAGUUGCGAGCGUUGUUCGGAAUUAUUGGGCGUAAAGGGCAUCUAGGCGGUUGCGUAAGCUUGGUGUGAAAGGCUGAGGCUCAACCUCAGGACUGCAUUGAGAACUGCGCAACUAGAGUCACUGAAGGGCAAUCAGAAUUCCAGGUGUAGGGGUGAAAUCUGUAGAUAUCUGGAAGAAUACCAAUGGCGAAGGCAGAUUACCGGCAGAUGACUGACGCUGAAGUGCGAAGGUGCGGGGAGCAAACAGGAUUAGAUACCCUGGUA